rnacentral:rRNA from 1 species
UACGACUACAUAUCAGGCAUAUCAAUAAGCGGAGGAAAAGAAACUAACUAGGAUUCCCUUAGUAACGGCGAGUGAAGCGGGAAGAGCUCAAAUUUGAAAUCUUCAAGGUUCUACCUUGACGAAUUGUAGUUUAAAGAAGUGUUUUCUGUUGGAGUUUUGGUAAAAGUUCUUUGGAAUAGGACAUCAUAGAGGGUGAGAAUCCCGUAUUUGACCAUUUCUUCCAGCUGUGUGAUACGCUUUCAAAGAGUCGGAUUGUUUGGGAAUGCAGUCCAAAAUGGGUGGUAAAUUUCAUCUAAAGCUAAAUAUUGGCGAGAGACCGAUAGCGAACAAGUACCGUGAGGGAAAGAUGAAAAGAACUUUGAAAAGAGAGUUAAACAGUACGUGAAAUUGUCAAAAGGGAAGCGUUUGACACCAGUGUUGUUUUCUCGAAAAUCAAUUAAAAAUGACCGGAUUUUGUGUUGUAUUGACUUUAUCAGCUUACUGUACUUUUUUCCUGCUCUUUUUAAUGCACUUUUCGUUUAACAAGUCAACAUCAAUUUCUUUUGUUGUAAAAGAGUCAUUGGAAGGUGGCUUUCACUUCGGUGAAAGUGUUUAUAGCCUUUGACUUCUGCAAUCGGAGAGAUUGAGGUCUGCAGCGUAGAUCCUUCGGGGUUAGAUACAUUAGAUGCUAAGUUAUAGUUUUUUAUAGACAACUUGUUGACUAUAGUUAGUCAUGUAGCUUACUCGCUUAUGCCUAAUUUUACCUACGCUUAGGAUGUUGAACGCGCACAGAGUCUC